rnacentral:rRNA from 1 species
AGUCGAGCGAAGCGAUUUAAAUGAGACUUCGGUGGAUUUUAAAUUGACUGAGCGGCGGACGGGUGAGUAACGCGUGGAUAACCUGCCUCACACAGGGGGAUAACAGUUAGAAAUGACUGCUAAUACCGCAUAAGCGCACGGUACCGCAUGGUACAGUGUGAAAAACUCCGGUGGUGUGAGAUGGAUCCGCGUCUGAUUAGGUAGUUGGUGAGGUAACGGCCCACCAAGCCGACGAUCAGUAGCCGACCUGAGAGGGUGACCGGCCACAUUGGGACUGAGACACGGCCCAAACUCCUACGGGAGGCAGCAGUGGGGAAUAUUGCACAAUGGGCGGAAGCCUGAUGCAGCAACGCCGCGUGAGUGAAGAAGUAUCUCGGUAUGUAAAGCUCUAUCAGCAGGGAAGAAAAUGACGGUACCUGACUAAGAAGCCCCGGCUAACUACGUGCCAGCAGCCGCGGUAAUACGUAGGGGGCAAGCGUUAUCCGGAUUUACUGGGUGUAAAGGGAGCGUAGACGGCACGGCAAGCCAGAUGUGAAAGCCCGGGGCUCAACCCCGGGACUGCAUUUGGAACUGCUGAGCUAGAGUGCCGGAGAGGCAAGUGGAAUUCCUAGUGUAGCGGUGAAAUGCGUAGAUAUUAGGAGGAACACCAGUGGCGAAGGCGGCUUUCUGGACGAUGACUGACGUUGAGGCUCGAAAGCGUGGGGAGCAAACAGGAUUAGAUACCCUGGUAGUC